rnacentral:rRNA from 1 species
UCUGCUCAAUGAUUUUUUAAAUUGCUGUGGUAUUUUGACUAUACAAAGGUAUUGUAAUAAGACUUUAAUUGAGUGCUAAGAGAAUGGAAUUUCAGGAAAAAUCUUUUUUUAAAUUAAAAAUAGAAGUUAUUUUUAUUUGUGAAGAAACAAUAAUGAAAAUUUAGGACAAGAAGACCCUAUGAAUUUUUAUAUCUUUUAUAAAUUUAGGUGAAUAAAAGAUAUUUAAUUGGGGCGAUUAUAAAAUAUUUGUAACUUUUAUAAAGUAAAGUUGAUCCAUUAUUAAUGAUAAUAUGAAUAAAUACUCUAGGGAUAACAGCGUAAAAA